GACGAACGCUGGCGGCGUGCUUAACACAUGCAAGUCGAACGGAAAGGCCCUGCUUUUGUGGGGUGCUCGAGUGGCGAACGGGUGAGUAACACGUGAGUAACCUGCCCUUGACUUUGGGAUAACUUCAGGAAACUGGGGCUAAUACCGGAUAGGAGCUCCUGCUGCAUGGUGGGGGUUGGAAAGUUUCGGCGGUUGGGGAUGGACUCGCGGCUUAUCAGCUUGUUGGUGGGGUAGUGGCUUACCAAGGCUUUGACGGGUAGCCGGCCUGAGAGGGUGACCGGCCACAUUGGGACUGAGAUACGGCGCAGACUCGUACGGGAGGCAGCAGUGGGGAAUAUUGCACAAUGGGCGGAAGCCUGAUGCAGCAAAGCCGCGUGCGGGAUGACGGCCUUUGGGUGGUAAACCGAUGUCGCAUGUGACGAAGCGUGAGUGACGGUAACGGGUAAAGAAGCACCGGCUAACUACGUG
rnacentral:rRNA from 1 species